rnacentral:rRNA from 1 species
AACGAACGCUGGCGGCAUGCCUAACACAUGCAAGUCGAACGAGACCUUCGGGUCUAGUGGCGCACGGGUGCGUAACGCGUGGGAAUCUGCCCUUGGGUCCGGAACAACAGUUAGAAAUGACUGCUAAUACCGGAUGAUGACUUCGGUCCAAAGAUUUAUCGCCCAGGGAUGAGCCCGCGUCGGAUUAGCUAGUUGGUGAGGUAAAGGCUCACCAAGGCGACGAUCCGUAGCUGGUCUGAGAGGAUGAUCAGCCACACUGGGACUGAGACACGGCCCAGACUCCUACGGGAGGCAGCAGUGGGGAAUAUUGGACAAUGGGCGAAAGCCUGAUCCAGCAAUGCCGCGUGAGUGAUGAAGGCCUUAGGGUUGUAAAGCUCUUUUACCCGGGAUGAUAACGACAGUACCGGGAGAAUAAGCCCCGGCUAACUCCGUGCCAGCAGCCGCCGCCGUAA